rfam:Larimichthys crocea isolate SSNF unplaced genomic scaffold scaffold1065, whole genome shotgun sequence.
GGUAUUGGCCCAACAUGAGCAUUGACUUGACUAUUGGAUUCAGUAAGUGCUACUUGUUGGGGCGGUUGUA